CUUCUUUCAGCCGUUGCUUCUCUGCAAUAGGCUUCAAAUGACCGGGUUUCUGUGUUGCAUACCCUAUGCAAGCGGAAUUUCAAGUUUUUGCUGUCCCUUCUUCGCUUUGUGCCCCGUCCACGGGGUGCGGUGAUCACUGUAGUGGUCUACUUGUUGCUACCUUGCCAAUUUGGCUUUUUAGUCCCAUUGUAGGCCGGCUGUGCUUUCGGAUACGGAAUGCUCCUUGGGCGGAUGUCGUCGGCAUCCACCAUUGUCCCUUUUCAUGAAAGACUGCCAUGCCCGUAUUGCUUCCCCUGCGAGUCGCAUUGUCGGCUCCCCGUGAUUCAUACGGGCAUUGAUGUCCGGAAGGAAUGCUACCUGGUUGAUCCUGCCAGUAGUCAUAUGCUUGUCUCAAAGAUUAAGCCAUGCAUGUGUAAGUAUGAACUAAUUCAGACUGUGAAACUGCGAAUGGC
rnacentral:misc_RNA from 1 species